rnacentral:tRNA from 1 species
GCGGGGGUGGCGGAACUGGUAGACGCGUACGUUUGAGGGGCGUAUGAUUUCGGUCGUGUGGGUUCGAGUCCCAUCCCCCGCACCA